CUCAGGGAAGGCUGACGUCCAGCAGCAGUUAGCUCACUGGCUGUUAGCCAGAUGCCCUGGGUGAACCGCACUGAUGGCCCAAGACACUGCAUGAGGCAAGCACUCUGCAGAAACGCUAAGGGUCAGGAGAAGAGGGCAAGAUGAGGAAGUUCCCGCUAUCUGGACUCAGAGUCCCACCCCUGGGGACGUGCUCCAACGGCAAGCAGUUUCAGGAUCACUUUGCAGGCUUGCACAGCUUUGCUCCCAUUAAACCUCUGAUUGCGUCUGUUGCCAUUUGGAACAGAGAUUCUUCGAUCAAGUCUUCAACAACAUGACACUGGAUCUGGUAAGUGUGUGCGGACCAGUCAUAGGUGUGCAGAUGUCUUCCACUCGGACAGAAGAUGGUAACCAUGUCCACAGGCACUGCCACAGACUGUCAGGGACAAACAUGUUGUUGCUAUUAUUUUUCAGCUAAAAAAAUAAGCUCUUUACAAUGCAUAGUUGGAGGAGCUUAGUCCACAGAUUCAAAGCCAUAGAAUUACAUGUUCUUAAAGACUCACAGGAGACAACAAAGCAGAAAACACAUGUAGUGUUUUGUGGAAAGUCCUGAGGGCUGUGUGUCAGGGCCAAGCUGAAUGGGCAGGGGACUUGCUCCAGCCACCCCCCAGGGACCCAGCUCCAGCCCUGCCUGUCCUUCUUCCACUUCCCCUUUAUCUGAAGCAGUGGACAAGAGAAGGAGGAGGUGCCAAAGGACACCAGGGGUCCUGGAGGAACUGAAGCCACCACGUGCUGCAGGUGGAGGAGCCUGUAACCUCUUAAGGAAGAGUGGUUAGAAACUGCGGCCCUGAUUUGAAUCCUGAGGGCCCUUCGUGACACUUUCACUUCCAACAGCCACCACCUGUGAUGGUGUCCUGCUGUGACUCGGGACUAAGCAAAUGUGAUCCUGCCUGUUCCCAACCCUGGGAGGCCAUGCCCAAGUCUUCACCCAAGUUUCCUCAGUAAGACUGGAAGAAGGUGGGGCAGCAAAGCCCCUUUGACAAUGCAUAGCAGGAGUGUGAGUCCCGUGUCACAAGGGGACUCACAGCUCUGACGCCUUGACCAGAACAAAUGAUGUUUCUGACAAGAGGACUUGACAAGAUCCUCACGGAAUCACACAGGAUGUCACCUCCUGAGCUCUUCCAGAGCACAGAGAUGGAAGGGACACCGGGAUGGCGGGAAGGGAGGUUGGGAGCCAAGGAUCAUGGCAGUGUCCUCCAGACCCCUGGGUGUGGACUUGUUGGCCAAUGCUUCUGCAAACAAGGGGGAUGUAGGUGAUCUCACUUUCCCAAGGGCAGUGCUCAAGGCCAGGGCCAGGCCAGGGCCAGGCUGAGCUCUUACGCUUGGCUUUUGCUCUGGAAAGUUCUCUCUUGGUGUGCUGCAGAGCACAGCCCUGAAGCACAGGAUAGUGGACAAAACCCCCGUGACGGCCCAGGCUCCACCAGGCCAGCCUUCGCCCACUCAGAGCCAAGAGAAAGCAAACAGGCCUCUGGACAGCUGAGUGGAGGCUGCAUGUUCUCCUCACACACCACUGACUUGCUGGGCCCAGAGCCUGUGCUGAGGAUACCCCACACACCCAGGACCCAGGCUGGCUUCUGAGGAGCACCUGGAACAGCCAGCUGGGCAGUGGGCUCAAACUUCUCUGCCUUAGUCAACUUGAUUUUGGAUGGACUGAACAUGUCAUGUGGCAUGUGAAUGAGGGACCACCCCCCCGCCCCCGCCCCUUGCCCUCUACCUCUUGGCUCCUGGUGAGCACAUUUGGAUCAUGACUGGCUAGAGCACAGUCCUCCCCACAUCCCUCUGUCUCUGGAGCACCUCCACCCCACAAAGCUCUACUCGUUCUGCAACUCCCACCAGAAAGACGGUCAUAGACUUCCUGAUACUUCCUGGUGAGUGGUAGGCAAGGACCAGAUCAAUCAACCAAUCAACCAACUAACCAACCAGCCAACCCAGAUACUUGGGAUGCAUUUUCCCAAAGACAGAGCCUUGUGAGGGAUGCCCAGGCCCAGAUGCAGCCCCCAGGGCUCCACUCCACAUCUGUGGAGCAACCAGAAAUCAUGGAUCCAUCUCAACCCCACAGAUUCCUCACAGCUGAACUGGGGAGCCAGUGCCAUUCACAGGGCAGAGACUGGGUUACUGAGCAUGUCCCUGCCUGGCCUUUCCCGGCCAAGACUUGAGUGGUAGGAACCCAGAUGGCUUAUAUCGGCAGGGCCUCCAGUCUUCUUUCAGGAUGCCCCUGGGGCUUGUGAAGGCCAAAGAGACUUGCCAAGUGACAGGUGCAUUCUGUGAGUCUGUUCGUUCCAAGGAAAAUUUCUGGUUUCACUUGAUUCUUAUCCAGAAUGAGGCUUAGGUGCUCGUCACUAUCAUGGGGCACUGAGGGGGCAUUGUAACCACUUUGGAAAGGCAGUUUUUUUCCCUCCUGAUUUGCUUCACAGUAAAGGUGGCACUGCAGCUAAUGCAAAACGAGUAAACUGUGGCAAAUGUCAUCAGCAGGCUCCCCCACCAGGAACCCUCGCUUCUUUCAGACUCUGCUGAGUCCCUCUGGGGCACUCUUGUCCUCUAGAGCACUUUGAGAUACAUCAUAGUGUCACUGUAAAGCCAAACCCUUGUCCCAGUGCGGCAGAGCAUGACCAGGCCAGCUAGAACACAGCAAGCCAGGGCUGAGCCAAACAAGGGCACGCUGACCUGUCACCCUACAGAGGCCAAGGCCUGGUGCUCAUGCCCACUCCUUAUAGUGCCAUGGCCCCCAAUCCCCAGUAUCCACCAUCCUCGGACCUCAGCCUCCUGGGAAGCUGGGAUUGCAGCCUGCAGAAAUGGGCAGAAGGGAAUGGCAGCGCAGACCCAAGGGCCAACCAAUAGUGUCAGUGCUUUCCAAACCCGAUUGGCAUAAGUUUUAACCAAUAGCUUUUAGUACUUUUCCAAACCUGAUUAGCAUAAGUAUGGACCAAUAGUGUUGACCCAAGUGCUAUAUAAACCCCUAGACCAACACACUCAGUAACCCACCUGCUACUGGUUACUCUCUUGUCUUUGAGUUCUGUUUCUAUGCUUCACACUUGAAUAAAUCCUACAUCUCUCA